GCCAUAGCUCAGUGGGAGAGCAUCAGCUUUGCAUACUUAACGUCCCAAGUUCAAUUCCCAGCAUCUCCA